UACGUAGGGGGCAAGCGUUGUCCGGAUUUAUUGGGCGUAAAGAGCGUGUAGGCGGCCAAGCAGGUCCGCUGUGAAAACUCGAGGCUCAACCUCGAGACGUCGGUGGAAACCGUUUGGCUAGAGUCCGGAAGAGGAGAGUGGAAUUCCCGGUGUAGCGGUGAAAUGCGCAGAUAUCGGGAAGAACACCCGUGGCGAAGGCGGCUCUCUGGGACGGUACUGACGCUGAGACGCGAAAGCGUGGGGAGCAAAAGGG
rnacentral:rRNA from 1 species